UGGGGAAUAUUGGACAAUGGGCGAAAGCCUGAUCCAGCCAUGCCGCGUGUGUGAAGAAGGUCUUCGGAUUGUAAAGCACUUUAAGUUGGGAGGAAGGGCAGUAAAUUAAUACUUUGCUGUUUUGACGUUACCGACAGAAUAAGCACCGGCUAACUCUGUGCCAGCGGCCGCGGUAAUACAGAGGGUGCAAGCGUUAAUCGGAAUUACUGGGCGUAAAGCGCGCGUAGGUGGUUCGUUAAGUUGGAUGUGAAAUCCCCGGGCUCAACCUGGGAACUGCAUUCAAAACUGACGAGCUAGAGUAUGGUAGAGGGUGGUGGAAUUUCCUGUGUAGCGGUGAAAUGCGUAGAUAUAGGAAGGAACACCAGUGGCGAAGGCGACCACCUGGACUGAUACUGACACUGAGGUGCGAAAGCGUGGGGGA
rnacentral:rRNA from 1 species